UCGGUGGGGGAUGAGUGGCGAACGGGUGAGUAACACGUGGGUAAUCUGCCCUGCACUCUGGGAUAAGCCUUGGAAACGAGGUCUAAUACCGGAUAUCACAAUCUCUCGCAUGGGGGGUUGUUGAAAGUUCUGGCGGUGCAGGAUGAACCCGCGGCCUAUCAGCUUGUUGGUGGGGUAGUGGCCUACCAAGGCGACGACGGGUAGCCGGCCUGAGAGGGUGACCGGCCACACUGGGACUGAGACACGGCCCAGACUCCUACGGGAGGCAGCAGUGGGGAAUAUUGCACAAUGGGCGCAAGCCUGAUGCAGCGACGCCGCGUGAGGGAUGACGGCCUUCGGGUUGUAAACCUCUUUCGCCAGGGACGAAGCGCAAGUGACGGUACCUGGAUAAGAAGCACCGGCUAACUACGUGCCAGCAGCCGCGGUAAUACGUAGGGUGCGAGCGUUGUCCGGAUUUAUUGGGCGUAAAGAGCUCGUAGGCGGUUUGUCGCGUCGGCCGUGAAAUCUCCACGCUUAACGUGGAGCGUGCGGUCGAUACGGGCAGACUUGAGUUCGGUAGGGGAGACUGGAAUUCCUGGUGUAGCGGUGAAAUGCGCAGAUAUCAGGAGGAACACCGGUGGCGAAGGCGGGUCUCUGGGCCGAUACUGACGCUGAGGAGCG
rnacentral:rRNA from 1 species